GCACUGCUGAAGAGUCUCAUACAAGAACGAAACAGCUGUCCAGUAC
rfam:Schistosoma mattheei strain Denwood, Zambia genome assembly, scaffold: SMTD_scaffold0025214